UACGUAGGGUGCAAGCGUUGUCCGGAAUUAUUGGGCGUAAAGAGCUCGUAGGCGGUCUGUCGCGUCGGAUGUGAAAACCCAGGGCUCAACCCUGGGCCUGCAUUCGAUACGGGCAGACUAGAGUUCGGUAGGGGAGACUGGAAUUCCUGGUGUAGCGGUGAAAUGCGUAGAUAUCAGGAGGAAUACCGGUGGCGAAGGCGGCCUUCUGGACGAUGACUGACGCUGAGACGCGAAAGCGUGGGGAGCAAACAGG
rnacentral:rRNA from 1 species